AUGAGCGAUGCCCGGGCGCAACGGGAGGAGCUGCCUCAGUUUCCCCCAUGCCAAGGCCGCAGCUUCCCCGGCUUUCCUUCCUUCCCGGGAAAGGGGAGGGAGCUUCCCCUGCCGCUUCCCCACAUCCCCGCGGCCGAGCCAGGAGAUUGUGACGAGCUCUGGGUGCGCAGAGCCAGCGCCGGAUUCCUGGCACCGGCGGGGAGGCCGGGAGCCAUCGCCCGCCUCCUCCCCGCUCGGCCCCGCUCGCUCCCCGCCGUCCCCCUGGGCCGCCACCGCGGGCACCGGGCGGUGACGCUGGCACGGCCGCGCAGCCCCCAGCCCUCCCCUGCCGCCGGAUCCCGGGCCAGCAGGGACGCCGGGAGAGAGGAGCGGGGACAGGCCUUUCCAUGGUGUCUGCUACCUGCCCGCCGCCGCCCUCGCCAGCCCGGGCACAUGGGGGCGAAGAGCAGCCUCCACCCCACGUCCCCACUGCCCUCCCUGGGCCAAGGACCCCAAAGAUCCAGGCUCCUGUCCCCCCCCAGCCUCUGCCACCGACGGGCAGGGUGCUGGGGUCCCGCUCCGGGACCUUCCUGUGCCCAGCAGCAGCCGGAGGGAUUUGGGGAUGCCGAGGGCACAAGUUGCGGGGUGCGUGUUGCUGGGGCUCUGCGGGUGCAGGGGGGGUUUAGGGGACAACAUGGAGUGGGUGGGGGUCUGUGUGCCCUGGGGGUGGGCUUCAGGGGGUGCGUGCAGAUGGAUGGUGCCCUGCAGUGCCCCCAUGUCCCCGGGGGUCCCAAGCAGCCUGGGAGGGGACGGAGUGGAUUUGGGGGUCCCCGGGAUGUCCCUUGCCCACAGAUGCCCCAUGCCAGGGGAGAAUAUUGGGGGGGGGAGCAUUGUAAUGGGGGUGCCCUGCAAAUGCCAAGGGGGCUGUGGGUGGGUUCCCAGGGGCCACACGUCCUGGGGGAGGGGGGCAUAUGGAUAGGGGCGCACCCAGCAUGCCCAGUGCCUAGGGAUACCCCAAAAUCCCGGGGGGAGGGGUUGUCCUACACUGUCCUGGGGGGUGUUGGGUGGAUCGGGGGGGUCCCCAGCAUGCCAUGGGGGUGACGGCAUCCCCCAGGUACCCCAUACCCGGGGAAGGGGUCAAUGGAUGGGGGGGGUUCCCAGGGCUGCCCCAUGCCCAGGGGUACCCCGUGCCUCGGGGGACGGGUGGCAAACAGAGGGGGGGUCUCCCCAAAACACCCACACCAGGCGUCACCCCAAUCCCCCCGGGACCACCUACAGCCCCCGGGGUGCCCCAGAACGACCCGGGGCCGGGGAUGUGCGAAGAGGGGGAGAGGAGGCGGCUGGGCUGGGGUAGAGGAGGGGGGGGGGGCGCAAAG
rnacentral:lncRNA from 1 species